AUGUCAAGUGGUCACGCACGCACGGUUCGUCUCGUACCCAAUAUCGAUCGAUCGAUCCGUCUCGUCUCGAUCAGCAUGCAGCGUGUGUCGGAGAAAAACGCCCUCGGCCCGUACGCGCACGUACCUCCCGCCGCAUUCCGUAGCCACACCUACGACGCUACGACUGCUGCUGCUGCUACACGGAGGGGGAGGAGGAGGAGGAUGAUGAGACGCGCGCGCACCAGCCGUGCCGCGCGCAGGUGCAGAGAACCAACCACAUCGUGCGCACGUGGCGGGGCGGGGCGGCGGUCCUGUGUUUUCGUGCAGGUUCAUUGCACUCCACGCGUGCGCGCGCGCGACACCUCGCAUGCAUCUCGAUCGGUCGAUCGAUCCUCUCGUGGUAAAGGUACCUUGUUCGCCGGCAGCCCCUAA
rnacentral:rRNA from 1 species